rnacentral:rRNA from 1 species
AGUGAACGCUGGCGGUAGGCCUAACACAUGCAAGUCGAACGGCAGCACAGUAAGAGCUUGCUCUUACGGGUGGCGAGUGGCGGACGGGUGAGGAAUACAUCGGAAUCUACUUUUUCGUGGGGGAUAACGUAGGGAAACUUACGCUAAUACCGCAUACGACCUACGGGUGAAAGCAGGGGAUCUUCGGACCUUGCGCGAUUGAAUGAGCCGAUGUCGGAUUAGCUAGUUGGCGGGGUAAAGGCCCACCAAGGCGACGAUCCGUAGCUGGUCUGAGAGGAUGGUCAGCCACCCUGGAACUGAGACACGGUCCAGGCUCCUACGGGAGGCAGCAGUGGGGAAUAUUGGACAAUGGGCGCAAGCCUGAUCCAGCCAUACCGCGUGGGUGAAGAAGGCCUUCGGGUUGUAAAGCCCUUUUGUUGGGAAAGAAAAGCAGCAGGUUAAUACCCCGCUGUUCUGACGGUACCCAAAGAAUAAGCACCGGCUAACUUCGUG